rnacentral:lncRNA from 1 species
UCGAUUUUCUCUAAUGAAUUUUAGCCGCGUCGCGUUGCGAACGCUGGCUCAAAGAGAGCUCCGCGUUGUUCUCCUUCCAGUUCUUCUUCUUCUUCUUCUUCUUCUUCUUCUUCUUCUUCUUCUUCCUCUUCCUCGUAUUCUUCUUCUUCUUCUUCAUGUGAAGACAAAACCUUUCGGACGCGGCUCUUGGACACAUUUGUCCUUGUUUAUCAAUACGUCCCCAUUUUGAGGGAUUGUACUUUGGAGAUCGUUACCGACUUGACAGGUUUGACCACAGAGACAAAACCUCGACAAUGGAAAGCUCCCAGCUGAUGAUCCAGAUUUCCAUUGAAUCAAGCAAUCAGCAAGCUGAAUCAAUUCUUCAUACCUCUCUGGAAGCAAUUUCCUAUGUUGGUCUUAAUUCCAAACCGAUCGUCAUGAAACUUUACCAAGUUGUAGAGGUAGUGUCAACUGAGAAGCCUAUUGAUUUUGAGGUCAAAGAGGGAAGGCUUGUGGAACAGCAAGAACACAGAAUGGAUCAGGACACAACAGAACAAAAGGAACAGCAGAAAGAGAAGGAAAACACCGACAGCGGAGUUGAAAGACAUGAGGAUGGUCUGAGAUGUUGGUGA